rnacentral:rRNA from 1 species
AGAGUUUGAUCAUGGCUCAGGAUGAACGCUAGCGGCAGGCCUAAUACAUGCAAGUCGAGGGGCAGCACGGUUUUCGGACCGGUGGCGACCGGCGGACGGGUGCGUAACGCGUAUGCAACCUACCCAUAACUGGGGUAUAGCCCGUGGAAACAUGGAUUAAUCCCCCAUAAAGCAGGGGUAUCGCAUGAUACUAUUUGCUAAAGCUUCGGUGGUUAUGGAUGGGCAUGCGUCUGAUUAGCUAGUUGGUGAGGUAACGGCUCACCAAGGCAACGAUCAGUAGGGGGUCUGAGAGGAUGAUCCCCCACACUGGCACUGAGAUACGGGCCAGACUCCUACGGGAGGCAGCAGUAGGGAAUAUUGGGCAAUGGGCGCAAGCCUGACCCAGCCAUGCCGCGUGCAGGAUGAAGGCCUUCUGGGUUGUAAACUGCUUUUAUCAGGGAAGAAAAAGGCGCUGCGGCGCCAAUUGACAGUACCUGAAGAAUAAGCACCGGCUAACUCCGUGCCAGCAGCCGCGGUAAUACGGAGGGUGCAAGCGUUGUCCGGAUUUAUUGGGUUUAAAGGGUGCGUAGGCGGUGCGUUAAGUCAGUGGUGAAAGCCUUCGGCUCAACCGGAGAAAUGCCAUUGAUACUGGCGCACUUGAGUACAGACGAGGUAGGCGGAAUUUAUGGUAGCGGUGAAAUGCAUAGAUACCAUAAAGAACACCGAUAGCGUAGGCAGCUUACUAGACUGUAACUGACGCUGAGGCACGAAAGCGUGGGGAGCGAACAGGAUUAGAUACCCUAGUAGUCC